rnacentral:rRNA from 1 species
CCUACGGGAGGCUGCAGUGGGGGAUAUUGCACAAUGGGGGGAACCCUGAUGCAGCGACGCCGCGUGGGUGAAGGAGCGUUUCGGCGCGUAAAGCCCUAUCGGCAGGGAAGAAGGUGGCCGGUACCUGACUAAGAAGCCCCGGCUAACUACGUGCCAGCAGCCGCGGGAAUACGUAGGGGGCAAGCGUUAUCCGGAUUAACUGGGGGUAAAGGGGGCGCAGACGGCAGCGCAAGCCAGGAGUGAAAGCCCGGGGCCCAACCCCGGGACUGCUUUUGAAACUGCGCGGCUAGAGUGCAGGAGGGGCAGGGGGAAUUCCUGGUGUAGCGGUGAAAUGCGUAGAGAUCAGGAGGAACACCGGUGGCGAAGGCGGCCUGCUGGACUGCAACUGACGUUGAGGCCCGAAAGCGUGGGGAGCAAACAGGAUUAGAUACCCUUGUAGUC